AUAAUACUCCAUAGAUUAGAGAUACUGGAAUGUUCUUUAGUCAAAAGUUCUGGCGCCUUAGGAUGGAUCUGCGGUCGAUUAGGUUGUUGUUGGGGUAACGGCCCAACAAGCCUGUAAUCGAUACGGGUUGUGGGAGCAAUAGCCCGGAGAUGGAAUCUGAGACAAGAUUCCAGGCCCUACGGGGCGCAGCAGGCGCGAAAACUUUACAAUGCAGGAAACUGUGAUAAGGGAACCCCGAGUGCCCGUAUACGCGGGCUGUCCAGGUGUUUAAAAGUCAUCUGAAGAAAGGGCCGGGCAAGACCGGUGCCAGCCGCCGCGGUAAUACCGGCGGCUCGAGUGGUGGCCACUAUUAUAGGGCUUAAAGCGUCCGUAGCUGGACUGAUAAGUCUCUUGGGAAAUCCGCCGGCUCAACCGGCGGGCGUCUAAGGGAUACUGUUGGUCUAGGGACCGGGAGAGGUGAGAGGUACUGCCGGGGUAGGAGUGAAAUCCUGUAAUCCCGGUGGGACCACCUAUGGCGAAGGCAUCUCACCAGAACGGGUCCGACAGUGAGGGACGAAAGCUGGGGGAGCAAACCGGAUUAGAUACCCGGGUAGUCCCGGCUGUAACUAUGUGCGUUAGGUGU
rnacentral:rRNA from 1 species